GGCGUGGUGGCAGAGUGGUCUAAUGCGCAAGACUUGAAUUUACCGAGAGAUCUUGUUCCUUCGGGAGCGUCCGUUCGAACCGGGCCCACGUCG